GGAAGGGGUGGGGCCUGCCCUGCGGGUGGACUCGGCGCACAGGCCCGCUCCGCUCCAGGCGCACGGUUCUCCUGGUGCAGGAUGACAGGUCGCUGCCUCUGUCUUGGCCUGACAACACUGGCUCUGCUCCGCUGCCUGCCUCUGGUGUACCUGGACCCAUGCGGCCUGAGCAUCGUGCCCAAGGAGCCGGUGGUGGCGUUCCGGGGCCACGUGGUUCUGAACUGCAGCAGCACCUGUUCCACUCUCGCCCACCUGGGCUGGGAGACGUCGGUGCCGAAGGUGACAAACGAGGGACCCGGCUGGGCGUCUCUGCACAUCUCCAGCCUCGCGGUGUGGGACCUGGAGCCCCAGUGCUACGUCACCUCCACGAACAUCAUCGAAAAAGCCAGGCUCCACGUGUACCGAUUCUCACCCCCCGAGAUCCACCUGGGAGCUGAGAUGGUGGCUGGUCGCCAGGAGCGAAUCACCUGCAACGUCUCCAGCCUUGUGUCCGGCUCCAGCCCCUCCGACAUCAACGUCACCCUGAGCAGCGGGGGCAGCACCCUCAGCGAGAGCCACGGCAGCCCAGCCGUGGGGUACAGCUUCGUGGCACAGCCCACACAGCACGGGCAGGAAAUCGUGUGCCAGGCCUGGCUCCGCGUGGGCCCCCAGGUGCUGAAUUACAGCACCAGGGCCACCCUGCAGGUCUGGGCCCUGCCCCACAGCGUGAAGAUCUCCGUGGAGCAGCUGGAGUUCGGCGUCGGCGCUAACUUCACGGUGCGGUGCAGCGCCGAGGGGAACCCCCUGCCCGAGCUGCUCUGGGAUCUGCCCUCCAACGCCAGCGUGGAGCUGUCUGACCGCCGCCGGACAGUGACGGUGCACUCGGCCCAGCGCGCCCACAGCGGGACCUACCAGUGCCUGGCACAGAACAGAUACGGGGCCAGCUCAGGGCACGUGAACAUCAGCAUAGUUGAGCAAAGGCACGGGAUCAUGAUAAUCGUAGCGGUGCUGGGGGUGAUUUCGGUUCUCGGCGGCGCAGGCCUGUGGCUUGUGAGAAGACGCUUCAUGAAGUCGUAGCUGCGGCCCGGGGCAGCUGCGGUCCAGGGCUGCCCCCGCCAGCCCACGGUGGGGAGGGCGACUCAGGGCAGGGGGAAGCGCUGGGCAGUGAUGGGCCUGAAGCUUUGGGUGAGGAGAAGGAGGAGCCCAGAGGUGUGUGAGCCUGUGACGAAGUGGGACUGUUCUUAAUGUUUCCUCCGAAUAUUGUGGGGGUGCCUCAGUUUCCCCUGUGCAGUUCUUAAGUCUCUAGGGGGUGGGAUAAGGGUGUAUGAUCCUUGCAGAGCCCUAGAGGGCAGGUGUGUGCAGGGGUCUGGACACAGAGAAUGGCCGACACCCUGUUUCCUGGCCACUGAUGGCCUGGGCCCUUCCCCCCCUGCAAGGUGAGAGCUGAAGGGUUGGAGAACAAAGGAAUCAGGUGACCUCCUGGCCCGGGAAAGGAACAAAGCCCAGAGGAGGAGGGGCUGGAGGGGGGUUUUUUCAGUUUGGGGCUGGCUGGGACAUGGAGUGAAGUGCAGACGUGGUUGUCUGGCUCACUGCCCCCCAGAAUGGACCCAGCUGAGGGGUCCCGUUCUCUGCACCUGCAAGCUCUGUUUUAGACCAUGUUCCUGUCGUCUAAUAAACCUUCUGUUUUACUGGCUGGCUGAGAGUCACGUCUGACUGCGAAGUUGGGGUGCAGGACCCUCUGGCUUCCCCAGGAGCACCGCCUGAGCGGACUCGCUGUGGGAAGCGCACGGAGAGGCAGAGGAUGCUGAAUGCUCCGAGGUCAGACCCAGGAAGGUGGAAGCUGUGUGAGCUGUGUGUCCUGAAGACAGGCUGCUCACAGAAAGGCGACUACCCCAGAGUCCUGACUGACUUCAUGGGGAGCAGUUCCAGAGCAUCGCCCAGGAACUCCGU